ACAGCUCCUGCCCUGCGGACAGUCAGCAGUUGGUCUGGUGUGAGCAGCGAUUCUCAGAUCACCUCUUGGCUGUGGGUGGUGCAGGGAGCACCCC
rnacentral:pre_miRNA from 1 species